UUUGACGGUCAAAGCGGUGGGGAAACACCUGGUCUCAUUCCGAACCCAGCAGUUAAGCCUAUCUACGUACUCUCUUGUACUAUGGUGCGCGAGCCCAUGGGAAAGUCACCCUCUUAG
rnacentral:rRNA from 1 species